GUAUUCAUUUGCAUUCAAAGUGUCAGUCAAUUUCACAUUGUCUCUGUAUCCACAGGUUGGGACAAAAAGGGUGCCAUAGUACGUAGUACUAACAUUCAAUAAUGAUCCUUCCGCAGGUUCACCUACGGAAA
rnacentral:misc_RNA from 1 species